AGCAAGGAGCAGCAAACACGACGAAGCUGCUCAAACAAUAAGUAAUUCCUGCUUUGUGAAGCUCGCGGCACGUUCGGUAUACAAAAGCUCUGCCCAGGAAAUGAUAAUUAAUAAACCAACCAAUAGUAGUGACCAAUGGUUUGUUUGCGGACAGUCAGUAGUGGUUUAUGUGGGUGACUGCUACUGUUUACCGAAAGUGGGUUUUCUGUUGAUUUUAAGCAAAAAGCGUGUAUUAGUAAGUGUAGAGCGGCAGGACCGAGUUAUUCGACUUUAAGGUUAAAUAGUAAGCGGUUAGAGUAAGACUAUGAUGUUAGCGAACGCCGGAAAUUGGUAAAAUGAACGAAAAUGUGCGAUGUAGUAUAUAAGUACCAUUAAUAUUAGAUAAGACGUAUUAUUCUUAUCAAAGCGUGUUCUAGAUUAGGUUUGUAUAGAUAUGUUUCUUAUGCGGGGUGUUGGGUGUUUUGUAAACCAGGUUACAAGUGAUAAGCGUAAUCUUAAAUCGAUAUGAGCCUCUGGCCAUGCCGCUCUCAUACUAGCUGGACGUGUUAUAAUUAUAGAGAACACGAGCACCAUCAAGCCACGGAUGCUUAAAAUUCUCUCCAUUAAAGUUUUUAUAGAACGGCGCAAAUUAAAAGGGAAACCGCCUGUGUCAAUAUAGGUACCAGGGAUUCUUAAGAUUGAAGUUUGCGUUUCCUUUGCCCUGCGGUUUGUGUUCAAUUCAAUGACUUGGAUUCGCAAACUUUUGUGUGUGCGAGUUUUUGCUUUGAGAUAAUUUUGGUAAAAUAAAGGUAUAUAAGCAAUUGUGAUAGUGUUUUUAGGAACACCCUAGUUUUAUUCGAAACAUCCGUUUAACAUAAGUUUUAAGUUAAAAUAACGCUCAAUUUUACAGAACACGUCGUAUAACCUCUUCUAUAAUCUAGUCUUCUUCAGCAUUGAUAAUCAACAUAGUUUGAAACAUCUGCUCAACAUGAGUUUAACAUCCAAUAUCUCGGCUCUAUCUUCCAAAACAUUUUUACAAGUUACUAAAACGUGGUUUUGUCCGAGAUCCUGGCUUUAGUUUCCAGCCAUAUUAACUUAUAGACCCCAUACACCAGAUGUAGCCAGUUUGUUUAAUUCGGUCGUAAAAUGGAAACUGCUUGCUCGUAAACCAACACAAGGCCGAACAUAACUCGUGCCAUGGGCUGGCCGACUUCCUGAGACUUGUAACAUCCAUUCACCCCAACAAGCCAUGUAAUAACAACACCCCCUACUGGAAGCGAACACUUACACGCCCCGCUUGCGUUCAAACGAGCGGUCAAUGUUAUUGUUGCGUAGUUUCAAAUUACUAGAAUGCAAACACACAAUUGAACAAUUUAAUAUCGAAGUUUAAACAAUGGAUGUUCUGCUAUUGGCAGGAAACGAGUUGUCUAUCCCAAAAAAUUAUCGUAAACUCGAAUUUAAAACAAUUUUAUGUUAAAAUAAUUAUAACGCAGAAUGAGAAAAAGUGUUGCUCCGCCACGUAGGAAUAAAAUGUUGCAUUUAUCUUUCAAACGCCUAUCUAUGUUUUAUAGCAUUAUCCCAUAAUUUCGGGUCCACUCAGUAUUGUGGGCAUCGCUAUUUCGAAACACGUCAAAUGCGAGGUGUAUUCUAUAUUUGGGUGGGUCCUGCAUGGAUACACACCGUGGGACGUAAGAUUUAGGUCACAGUUGAUCAAAUACUCUGACGAAUCCACUAACGCUUAUAUUUUAAGAUUAAAUACCAGUUAUGUAUAGAUUACAAUUACAUUCCUAAAGUAAAGAAUGGAAAAAUAUCAAGUCAGAUAAACGAUAUUAUGACGUAAUAGAACAAUUUCCAUCAGAAUGAAGCUAUUUAAAUGGUCCGUGGCGAUGACGUUUCGCAUGACGUCACAUCAAUCGACGCGAAUUGUCGAUGAAAUGGCGAAAAAAUUCGAAAAUUUUUAUUCAACUUUCUUUCGUGUAAGUUUCCGAAUGUUGGGUACUGUGACGUCACAGGGGCUUCAAUCGGCACGCGCGGGGGGCGGUGGGGCCAGAUAUUCUGGGUUCUUUUAUCUCGCGGCAUAGCGUGUCUAGAUAUCCGCUUUGCUUCGAGUAGCAAACCAAAUAAACACAACCCCAGCGCACGCUGUGCUUACAUACUUGGUAAACCGAAACGACCUCGAGAAAGAAAAAUAUUCUGCGGGACCUCGCGACUUCUAUCCCGGCCAAGACCAAUUAAAAUUCCCGAUCCCCGAAAUCUUCUCCUAAGCUAUAAAUACGACUCUAAUUGUUGCAGCAGGAUCAAGUUACGUUUAGCACGACAAGCUUUGGCGGAUUUCCAGCGAGAUCUUUAAAGUCUUUGAUUUCUUUAGCGCUUGGUAAUUAAAUCCAUUUAUUUUGUCCUAAUAUAAACCUGUAACCACAAAAA